GACGAACGCUGGCGGCGUGCUUAACACAUGCAAGUCGAACGGAAAGGCCCUGCUUUUGUGGGGUGCUCGAGUGGCGAACGGGUGAGUAACACGUGAGUAACCUGCCCUUGACUUUGGGAUAACUUCAGGAAACUGGGGCUAAUACCGGAUAGGAGCUCCUGCUGCAUGGUGGGGGUUGGAAAGUUUCGGCGGUUGGGGAUGGACUCGCGGCUUAUCAGCUUGUUGGUGGGGUAGUGGCUUACCAAGGCUUUGACGGGUAGCCGGCCUGAGAGGGUGACCGGCCACAUUGGGACUGAGAUACGGCCCAGACUCCUACGGGAGGCAGCAGUGGGGAAUAUUGCACAAUGGGCGGAAGCCUGAUGUAGCAACGCCGCGUGCGGGAUGACGGCCUUCGGGUUGUAAACCGCGUUCGCCUGUGACGAAGCGUGAGUGACGGUAAUGGGUAAAGAAGCACCGGCUAACUACGUG
rnacentral:rRNA from 1 species